rnacentral:rRNA from 1 species
CGCCGCGGUUAUACGAGAGGCCCAAGUUGAUAGGCAUCGGCGUAAAGGGUGGUUAAGGAAAACUGCAAAAUAAAGCCGAACAUCUUCAAAGCUGUUAUACGCUAUCGAAGGCCCCGAAGCCCUACUACGAAAGUGGCUUUACCCCCGCCCCCGAACCCACGAAAGCUAGGGUA